CCAUCUUGUCUUAAAGCCGCAGUUUUUUCUUUCUCCGAUCGCUGAGAAUGGGCUCUCAUGAAGCAAUGUCAACAUCUUCGUUUUAACUGAAAUUAAGAUAUCUACAUCAUGGUUAAUUAAAACAGCCAACCACAGAAUUUAAUAAGAUUCUUCUGUACCAGGAGUUAAUCAGUGAAAGCAUUCUGGCUCAUUUCUUCUGACAUAUUUUCCAAACAAGAAAAGGAGGAAUUCAUUAACCCGUGUCACCCAUAGUGACCAAACAUAAUAUUAACCAGCACAUUGUCAAGAACCUUGCUCAUGGGUUCGUGACUGAAUUGGUUAAGCAGAAUAGGGAUAGGGAAGAAGAGAGAGGGAGUCGAGAGAGAAAUUUGAAUUACAAUUUCAAUUUCAAAUUGAACAUGCUUUCCUUCCCACCAGUGAGUCAUUUAUAUAGGUAUAGGGGGUGCGCCUUUCAGUUGCGUGAGUCCUUUAUGGCUACAACCAAAUGAAAAAAAAAUAAUCCAUGCACGUAACUGGAAGUACAAAAUUGCCUUCUGUCCUCACACCUGUUUACCCUUUUAUCCUUCUUCCUUCGGUGCACUUUUAGCAGCUUCCUUACAAUACUUUUCCCCUGAAUGGAACCUUAUCUUCAAGGUUGAGAUUUGGAAAUUGGUGACUCAUAUACUAAUAGUCUUCCCAAGUGUAAUCGUCCUGUGCAGUACCGUCCCAGGAAAUGAGGACCUGUUCCAUUUUGUGAUCACCGAGGGGAAUGGUCCUACGUUGCAGAACUCUCUCAGGUUGGACACUGGGUACACCCUCCCAGUUAUCCAUUGUAGGUUUUUACCCUAGUUCAUUACCAACAAUGUUUUUUUUUAACUGGAACACAUGGAAGACUGGGUGGAUAUGCGAGGAUGGGGUAAUUUAAGCCAAUAUACCACUGGUCCUACUUUAUGUAGAACUUCAAAAGGACCAUAGAAUCUUGGAGACAGCUUGGAACUUUCAUCUUGUGUGACCAAUCCUUGCCUGAACGGUUGAAGCUUGAGUAGCAUAAAGUCAUGUUAUUCAGAACUACUUUAACUAUGAUAAGCAUCAACAUAUUGUUUGGUAUGGAGUCGAGCCUUCAACAAAUAUUGUUUAAUUACCCAAUUAGCUUCAUCUCUCUCCAUUAUGAAGGCUUCAACUGAUCGUGAGGGUGGUGUGGAUCGACGACAUCCCAAGAAGUGGGGAGAAGUGUAAUCAUAAAGAGCUUAAAGAGGGUCAUUUGCAAACUCGAGUAGUAUGAAGGGUUAUACCACCAUUCAGCAAUCGUUAGUC
rnacentral:lncRNA from 1 species